rnacentral:rRNA from 1 species
GACGAACGCUGGCGGCGUGCUUAACACAUGCAAGUCGAGCGGUAAGGCCCUUUCGGGGGUACACGAGCGGCGAACGGGUGAGUAACACGUGGGUGACCUGCCCUCAGCUCUGGGAUAAGCCUGGGAAACCGGGUCUAAUACCGGAUAUGACUCCAUGACGCAUGUUGUGGGGUGGAAAGCCUUGUGCGGCUGAGGAUGGGCCCGCGGCCUAUCAGCUUGUUGGUGGGGUGAUGGCCUACCAAGGCGACGACGGGUAGCCGGCCUGAGAGGGCGACCGGCCACACUGGGACUGAGACACGGCCCAGACUCCGUACGGGAGGCAGCAGGUGGGGAAUCUUGCGCAAGUGGGACGAAAGCCUGACGCAGCGACGCCGCGUGAGGAU